rnacentral:tRNA from 1 species
GCGCCUGUAGCUCAGCUGGAUAGAGCAACUGGCUUCGAACCAGUAGGUCGCAGGUUCGAAUCCUGCCGGGCGCGCCA